rnacentral:rRNA from 1 species
UACGAAGGGGGCUAGCGUUGCUCGGAAUCGCUGGGCGUAAAGCGCACGUAGGCGGCUUUCUAAGUCAGGGGUGAAAUCCUGGAGCUCAACUCCAGAACUGCCUUUGAUACUGGAGAGCUAGAGUCCGGAAGAGGUGAGUGGAACUGCGAGUGUAGAGGUGAAAUUCGUAGAUAUUCGCAAGAACACCAGUGGCGAAGGCGGCUCACUGGUCCGGUACUGACGCUGAGGUGCGAAAGCGUGGGGAGCAAACAGGG